rnacentral:tRNA from 1 species
GGGGGUAUAGCUCAGCGCUAGGGCACAUGCUUAGUUAGCAUGCAGGAGGUCCUGAGUUCAAUCCCCAGUACCUCCA